GCUGGGGAAUAGCCUCGGGAAACUGAGAAUAAUGCCCCAUAGUUCACUACGCCUGGAACGGUGAGUGGAUGAAAGCUCCGGCGGCAUAGGAUGGGCCUGCGGCGUAUCAGGUCGUAGGGGGUGUAACGUACCCUCUAGCCAUCGACGCGUACGGGUGUUGGGAGACAUAGCCCGGAGAUGGAUUCUGAGACACGAAUCCAGACCCUACGGGGUGCAGCAGGCGCGAAAACUUGGCAAUGCGAGAAAUCGUGACCAGGGAACUCCAAGUGGCUGGGGUAAGACCCAGUCUUUUCUUGACUCUUCAAAGGUCUUGGAAUAAGAGGUGGGUAAGGACGGUGCCAGCCGCCGCGGUAAUACCGGCGCCUCAAGUGGUAGUCGAUUUUAUUGGGCCUAAAACGUCCGUAGCCUGUUUGGUACAUUCGUGGGUAAAUCAACCAGCUCAACUGGUUGAAUUCUGCGAGCACGGCCAGACUUGGGACCGGGAGAGGUGUGGGGUACGCUCAGGGUAGGGGUAAAAUCCUGUCAUCCUGAGCGGACCACCUGUUGCGAAGGCGCCACACUAGAACGGAUCCGACGGUCAGGGGCGAAGCCUAGGGGCACGAACCGGAUUAGAUACCCGGGUAGUCCUAGGUGUAAACGCUGUGGACUUGGUGUUGGGGAUUCUCCGAGGAUUCUCAGUGCCGAAGCGAAGGUGAUAAGUCCACUGCCUGGGGAG
rnacentral:rRNA from 1 species